GACGAACGCUGGCGGCGUGCUUAACACAUGCAAGUCGAACGGAAAGGCCCUGCUUUUGUGGGGUGCUCGAGUGGCGAACGGGUGAGUAACACGUGAGUAACCUGCCCUUGACUUUGGGAUAACUUCAGGAAACUGGGGCUAAUACCGGAUAGGAGCUCCUGCUGCAUGGUGGGGGUUGGAAAGUUUCGGCGGUUGGGGAUGGACUCGCGGCUUAUCAGCUUGUUGGUGGGGUAGUGGCUUACCAAGGCUUUGACGGGUAGCCGGCCUGAGAGGGUGACCGGCCACAUUGGGACUGAGAUACGGCCCAGAGUCCUACGGGAGGCAGCAGUGGGGAAUAUUGCACAAUGGGCGGAAGCCUGAUGCAGCAACGCCGCGUGCGGGAUGACGGCCUUCGGGUUGUAAACCGCUUUAGCCUGUGACGAAGCGUGAGUGACGGUAAUGGGUAAAGAAGCACCGGCUAACUACGUG
rnacentral:rRNA from 1 species